rnacentral:rRNA from 1 species
AGUACCGUGAGGGAAAGAUGAAAAGCACUUUGGAAAGAGAGUUAAACAGAUGUGAAAUUGUUGAAAGGGAAACGAUUGAAGUCAGUCGUGUCUUGGGGUUCAGCCGGCCCUGCCGGUGCACUUCCCCUCGACGGGUCAACAUCAGUUCGUCCGGCGGAUAAGGGAGAUGGGAAGGUAGCACCCUCGGGUGUGUUAUGCCCUUCGCCGCAUACGCCGGGCAGAGACUGAGGCAUGCAGCUCGCCCUUUCUGGGCCGGGGUCCGCCCACGUCCGAGCUUAGGAUGUUGACACAAUGCUUUAAACGACCCGUCUUGAAACACGGACCAAGGAGUCUAACAUACCUGGAGUGUUUGGGUGUCAAGCCUGGACGCGCAAUGAAAGUAAACGAAGGAGGAUCCGCAAGGAGCACCUUUGACCGAUCUGGAUCUUCUGUGAUGGAUUUAGUAAGAGCAUGUAUGCUGGGACCCGAAAGAUGGUGAACUAUGCCUGAAAGGGCGAAGCCAGGGGAAACUCUGGUGGAGGCUCGUAGCGAUUCUGACGGCAAAUCGAUCGUCAAAUUUGGGUAUAGGGGCGAAAGACUAAUCGAACCUCUAGUAGCUGGUUCUUGCCGAA